rnacentral:sRNA from 1 species
CUGCUGCUGUUGAUGCUGCUGCUGUUGCUGUUGAUGCUGUUGCUGUUGAUGCAGCUGCUGCUGCUGUUGCUGCUGAUGCUGCUGCAG